AGCAAAUCAAAAGGCGACCUUGCGACCAUUUUGUGGUACAUAUGGAAAGCACGAAAUGGCCUGAUCUUUCAAGGAAGGAAAACAGAACGAAACAAGAUAAUCAGUGAAGCUCGCCUAGCUCAGCAACUUUUCGAGAAGUGGCAACCACAAAAGACAGUGCUUACCUCGGAAAGACACUCGUGGGUACCUCCAGAUCCGGGAGCGUGGAAGAUCAACGUGGAUUGCGCAUGGCAGGAGAGCCGAUCAGAGGGAUCCAUCGCCGGUCUUUGUAGAGGAGCUGAUGGGGUGUGCACUGCUGGUUUUGUGCAGAAAAUCCGUGCUCAAUCGGCUCACAUGGCCGAAACCCUAGCUAUCAGGCGUUCUCUUGAGUGGUUGAAGGAGAAGAGAGCUGUUUUGACAGAAUCACUUUCACCCGCACGAACUGAAGCCAUCUUCUACGUAUCUAGCGACUGCUCCUUGGCUGUUCAGUCGGUUCUGGGCUGCACAGAAACUCCAUGGGCCUCGCGGCCCUUUGUACUGGACUGCCGACAAUUGCUGGGCCAGAUGAAGGAUGUUUGCUUGCAAUUUGAACCGCGCGAGUCCAACCGAGCCGCGGACUGGGUCGCAAAAUCACACAGCUCCGGUUCCUUGCCAGGUAAUUGGGUUAUUAAUCCCCCGCACGAACUCUUUCUUAUCUUAUGUGUUGAUUUUCCUACUAUUUGUAAUCCUCCGACUUAGUAUCAAUCAAAGCGUUUUCACUUCGACCAAAAAAAAAAAA
rnacentral:lncRNA from 1 species